rnacentral:rRNA from 1 species
AUUGAACGCUGGCGGCAGGCCUAACACAUGCACGUCGAGCGGAGCGGCGGACGGGUGAGUAAUGCCUAGGAAUCUGCCUGGUAGUGGGGGAUGACGUCAGGAAACGGGCGCUAAUACCGCAUACUAUCAGAUGAGCCUACGUCGGAUGAGCUAGUUGGUGGGGUAAAGGCCUACCAAGGCGACGAUUCGUAACUGGUCGGAGAGGAUGAUCAGUCACACGUGAACUGAGACACGGUCCAGACUCCUACGGGAGUCAGCAGUGGGGAAUCUUGGACAAUGGGCGAAAGCCUGAUCCAGCCAUGCCGCGUGUGUGAAGAAGGUCUUCGGAUUGUAAAGCACUUUAAGUUGGGAGGCGUUACCAACAGAAUAAGCACCGGCUAACUUCGUGCCAGCAGCCGCGGUAAUAC